UCCGGUUGAUCCUGCCGGAGGCGACCGCUUUGGGAGUUCGAUUAAGCCAUGCGAGUCGUGAGUCUUAGGGACUCGGCAUACUGCUCAGUAACACGUGGAUAACCUGCCCUAUCGUCUGGAAUAACCUCGGGAAACUGAGAACAAGGCCGGAUAGCCCACAAUGCCUGGAACGGUUUGUGGGUGAAGCAUACAGUAGGAUGGGUCUGCGGCGUAUCAGGUUGUAGGGGGUGUAAUGGACCUCCUAGCCAUCGACGCGUACGGGUGUUGGGAGACAUAGCCCGGAGAUGGAUUCUGAGACACGAAUCCAGACCCUACGGGGUGCAGCAGGCGCGAAAACUUCACACUGCAGGAAACUGUGAUGAGGGAACUCCAAGUGCUAUCACUAUGUGGUAGCUUUUCUUGACUAUUAAUCGGUCAUGGAAUAAGGGCUGGGAAAGACCGGUGACAGACGCCGCGGUAAUACCGGCAGAUCAAGUGGUC
rnacentral:rRNA from 1 species